rnacentral:rRNA from 1 species
GAAGUAAAAGUCGUAACAAGGUCUCCGUAGGUGAACCUGCGGAGGGAUCAUUACUGAGUGAGGGAGCAAUCCCGACCUCCAACCCUCUGUGGACGCAUCAUGUUGCUUCGGGGGCGACCCUGCCGCGCAAGCGGCAUUCCCCCCGGAGGUCAUUCAAACACUGCAUUCUUACGUCGGAGUAAAAAGUUAAUUUAAUAAAACUUUCAACAACGGAUCUCUUGGUUCUGGCAUCGAUGAAGAACGCAGCGAAAUGCGAUAAGUAAUGUGAAUUGCAGAAUUCAGUGAAUCAUCGAAUCUUUGAACGCACAUUGCGCCCCCUGGUAUUCCGGGGGGCAUGCCUGUUCGAGCGUCAUUUCACCACUCAAGCCUCGCUUGGUAUUGGGCGUCGCGAGUCUCUCGCGCGCCUCAAAGUCUCCGGCUGAGCGGUUCGUCUCCCAGCGUUGUGGCAACUAUUCGCAGAGGAGUUCGAGUCGUCGCGGCCGUUAAAUCUUUCAAAGGUUGACCUCGGAUCAGGUAGGGAUACCCGCUGAACUUAAGCAUAUCAAUAAGCGGAGGA